rnacentral:rRNA from 1 species
UACGAAGGGAGCUAGCGUUGUUCGGAAUUACUGGGCGUAUAGGGCGCGUAGGCGGACAUCUAAGUCAGGGGUGAAAUCCCAGGGCUCAACCCUGGAAUUGCCUUUGAUACUGGACGUCUCGAGUUCGGGAGAGGUGAGUGGAAUUCCGAGUGUAGAGGUGAAAUUCGUAGAUAUUCGGAGGAACACCAGAAGCGAAGGCGGCUCACUGGCCCGAUACUGACGCUGAGGCGCGAAAGCGUGGGGAGCAAACAGG